UACAGAGGGUGCAAGCGUUGUCCGGAAUCACUGGGCGUAAAGGGCGCGUAGGUGGUGGCUUAAGCGUGCGGUGAAAGCUCGGGGCUCAACUCCGAGUCGGCCGUGCGAACUGGGCUCACUGGAGCAUAGUAGAGGCAGGUGGAAUUCCGGGUGUAGCGGUGGAAUGCGUAGAGAUCCGGAAGAACACCGGUGGCGAAGGCGGCUCACUGGACCGGUACUGACGCUGAUGCGCGAAAGCGUGGGGAGCAAACGGG
rnacentral:rRNA from 1 species